rnacentral:lncRNA from 1 species
UUAUUUUUGAUCGUUUUAUUUUCGUGUAAAAUAUUUUCUGAUAAAAUAUUGUUCGUAUUUUAUAAUACUUGAUAAAAUACGUUUCUAUUGGAAUUUUUUUGCGGAUACUAAAUUUUCUGACAAAAUAUUUUUAGACAUUAUAUAGCCACUCAUUAAAAUUAUUACGAAAAAGAGCUGAUACUGGGGAUGAGAGCAGCCACUGUUAUAGACGAGAAGUUGGGAAAGUAGGAUACUUAAGGUUAUUUCAUUCAUAUCUGGAAACAACGAUAAACCAUUGCUUAACGAAUGACGGUAUAAAACACAAUAUAUUUCAAGCUCGAGUAUCUUUAUGAUCGAAUUUACCUCGUAGUAGACAAGAGGUGCAUGAUAUUACGAAAGACAUCAAAACGUCAAAACGUUUGAAGGUAAUACAUUUUUACAGGUAAAUAAUGCGGAAAAAGGGGAUUUUAUUAUUUGGCACUGAUGACAAUUUAAAAUUUCUUAGUACAUCAACCAUAUUUUACGUUUAUGGAACAUUCUCGUACCGUACAAAGUUUUUUUUUACCAAGUUUUCACAAUUGAUGUAAUGAAAAACAAUCAUUGUACCUUUAGUUUUUACAUUACUGAAAGAAAAGAAAGACAAAAAUCAAGAAUCCUGUGUAGAUAUUUCACGAAUUAUUGAUAAUUAUUGUGUAACUUAUUGGGCAACUCAAGGUUUCAAUUCAUAAAAAUAUUAGUUAAUAAGUAUAAGCCACGGCAAAUAGUUUAAUAUAAUGGUUUUAAUUAAUUUUGUAUUCAUAAACUAUACAUAUAUUUUAUAUAAUGACGCAAUCAGCGAUAGUAUUCUGUGUUUUAAUUUUUCUCUCGAUUUUUCAAUACAUAUAAAUAUUAGCCAAUAAGUAUAAUCCGCGAAAAAAAUGGUUUAAUGUAAAUGUUUUGAUUAAUUUUGUACAUAUAUUUUAUAACGGUGUACAAUAUACGUAUGUGAUUAUUUUUUUAUAAAUAUUGAUUGUUGUAAAUGUUUAAUGUACACUAAUGCAAUAUUAUUUUAACGCCGGCGAAUACGCUGAUCGUUAGUGACUAAUGCUCAAUAUCAAUUACCAAUAUUUUAAUGGACCGCGGCGUAAUAUUUAUAAACUUGUUAACGG